GGAACACCGUCGGAGGCUUUUAUGGUAUGAGCGUAGAAUUUUGGCUGGUGCAGAGCCUACAUGCAAAGAGGUAAAUGCGUAUAUGACCCUUGUAUUUUAGUUGUAUUAACGAGUGCUGAUAGCAAAAAUGGCUCUAGCAGAGCUGUGCUUUUAGUAACUAACUAAUUCUUUCUUGAAUUAGAUAUGGCAACAAACUAAAUGUUUUUCAUUUCUGUCUAUAGACCUAGACAAUGAGAUAUUCUGCGCAACCUUCUAAAAGUUCUCGUAAACCUCCUUAGAAUGUCUGUUACUUCAUUCAAAUAAAUGGACAUUUCAAAUAACAUGAAGUCAUCGUGAAAAAGAACUCCAAAAGAAAUUUUACACAUAGCUCCUUCUUCCAUAAGGUAUAUGACUAGUUGUCUGCAUUAUGUUCAUGUAGCUUAAUCAAAGAUUAGGAAACACUUAGCUUUUUACCAUCACUGAUUUAUUCUUAGGUUGUCCUGUCUGAUGUAGUAAGAAAAGAAUUGAAGAAAAGAACUGAGAUAACUAGCUGAGAUAUGUAAGAUCCAUCCAAAAUGAUUGUUCCGCUCCGUCUUCUGUACUGCAGAAGUAUGCCAGUAGCCCCUAGGUGGUUGGGAGAGUGAUUUGGUAUGUCAGAACUGAACCUGCAGUACAUGGGCAGAACUAUUAUGAGACCAUCAAUCAAAACAGAGUUUUAGAAUGUGAUGCGUUCCUGAAAUAACUUAAAGUGGUUCAUUCAGUUAUUGACUCUCCAUCGAUUCAAUGAUGAAAAUCUUGGUCUAUUCGUAUGAGUACCCAUUGUUCGCCCAACAGUAAGUUUUAUAGAUAAGCUUAGGAGAGUUUGUUAUGUAAAAGUUCUGUUUGUCCAGCACAUUAAACAGGUGUGAGUGGAUACAACUGGAGUUGAUGCCUAAAUCGUGACUUUAUAGCUCCGCUACAACUUGCACUACAAAAAUCAGCAUGUAUGUGCUUCAAAUUUCUUGGACUAUGAGCUUCUAAAAGCUGUUAGGUCAGCUUAGGUUUAGGGUGAAUUUUUCAUAUGAAAACAAAGUUUUUGUUCUACC
rnacentral:lncRNA from 1 species